rnacentral:rRNA from 1 species
AUUGAACGCUGGCGGCAGGCCUAACACAUGCAAGUCGAACGAGUGGCGGACGGGUGAGUAAUAUCUGGGAAACUGCCCGAUGGCGGGGGGUAACUACUGGAAACGGUAGCUAAUACCGCAUCCCAUCGGUUGUUCCCAGAUGGGAUUAGCUUGUAGGUGAGGUAACGGCUCACCUAGGCGACGAACCCUAGCGGGUCUGAGAGGAUGACCAGCCACACUGGAACUGAGACACGGUCCAGACUCCUACGGGAGGAGGCAGUGGGGAAUAUUGCAAAAUGGGCGCAAGCCUGAUGCAGCCAGGCCGCGUGGAUGAAGAAGGCCUUCGGGUUGUAAAGUACUUUCAGCGGGGAGGCGUUACCCGAAGAAGAAGCACCGGCUAACUCCGUGCCAGCAGCCGCGGUAAUUC